rnacentral:rRNA from 1 species
UACGUAGGGUGCGAGCGUUGCCCGGAUUUAUUGGGCGUAAAGGGCGCGUAGGCGGCCACGCACGUCCGUUGUGAAAUCGCCCGGCUCAACUGGGCGGGGUCAGCGGAUACGGUGUGGCUCGAGCAAGCUAGGGGGCAAUGGAAUUCCCGGUGUAGUGGUGGAAUGCGUAGAUAUCAUUUGGAACGCCAACGGCGAAAGCAGGCAGCUGGGGAUGCACCGACGCUGAGACACGAAAGCCAGGGGAGCGAACGGG